AGAUCAUUGUGGUGUAAAAUGUAAGUAAAGUACAAUACCCAAGAGAUGAACAGACCAUCAAGAGAAUGAUGCAAAAAAGAGCAGCCAUGUUUAGCUUUUUUUUAUCUCUUCGCCUUUCCCUCCAUGGUGAAUAAGCCCCAGGUUAUUCUCGCAGUCCGAUGGCGAUUGUGUUACUACAAUUGGUCAGUUUGGUUUCGAAUGGUUAACCAAGGUUAAAUUGGAGUAUAUACCCAUCAACAUUGGAACAUCAUGUUGGUACAAUUUACUAAUCAUAAUGUGUUAUCAAAGGAAAAGUCAAAGAAAAAGAAACAACAACAACAAAAAUGCCGAGGAUCAGAAGAGGAUGGAGAGUAACAAAUAGUAUUAAGAUUGAAAAAAUUGGAGAAAAAGGUAAAAAACUAAGGUGAUUUUCUAUUGCAACGGAAGGAACUUCAAUUAAUUAUAACACCCUUGAGGUGUUAAUUCCUGUCAAUGAUGAACCAGAAACACAAGACAAGCAAUAGGAGGAGUAAACAUAGUAAAUACAAUCAACGAUCAUUCAGCAAUUAGAGACACGGAUGGUUAAUUAUUAACUUAAGAUCAGGAAAAAAAUACGCUGACCAUUACUUUCAUCAACUGUCAACAACUUGUUCCAGUUACUGUUUUAUAUAUUGUGUGUGUCCACCGUUGAUUAACUUUGAUUGGAUUGCAUUUUUUUCCCUCGUUUCCUAUCAAUCAUGUCAAAGGUUAUAAAUCAAGUCUCUCACUCUAUCAUUUGCUCUGGACUUUUACAUUUAUCUAUAUUAUUUACCUUUUAAACCAAUCAAAUCAAUCGGUAAAUUGUAUAUUUACAAUUACGAAAAGAUUGAUUUAUGAGUUAAUUUAGCUGAUUACAAUUUAUCCUGAUUGUGUCUACCUUUCUGACUAAAUAUACAAUCUUACAUAACACACAAUCAGUUGAUGAUGAUCACAAAAUUAGUCUAAAUAAUCAAAAUUAGUGUUGAAAUGAAUUAAAUUGCAAUCGUAAAAAAAUUA